rnacentral:rRNA from 1 species
GACAGAGGCCUCGAGCGUUAGGCGGAAUCACUGGGCUUAAAGCGUGUGUAGGCGGAAGCGUAAGUACCUUGUGAAAUCCCACGGCUCAACCGUGGAACUGCUGGGUAUACUGCGUUUCUUGAGCCAUUUAGGGGCGAGUGGAACGGAUGGUGGAGCGGUGAAAUGCAUAGAUAUCAUCCGGAACGCCUGUGGUGAAGACGACUCGCUGGGAAUGUGCUGACGCUGAGACGCGAAAGCGUGGGGAGCGAACAGG